rnacentral:misc_RNA from 1 species
CCGAGUUUACAACUCCCAAACCCCUGUGAACAUACCACUUGUUGCCUCGGCGGAUCAGCCCGCUCCCGGUAAAACGGGACGGCCCGCCAGAGGACCCCUGAACUCUGUCUCUAUAUGUAACUUCUGAGUAAAACCAUAAAUAAAUCA